rnacentral:rRNA from 2 species
UGCAGAAUCCCGUGAACCAUCGAGUUUUUGAACGCAAGUUGCGCCCGAAGCCAUUAUGCUGAGGGCACGUCUGCCUGGGCGUCACGC